UUUCCUCUUACAACCCUGGGCAUAUGAGCAUCUGGACUUUCUCUCUCCUCCCUUGGCAGAUGUAACAUCUUUCCUCUCACCAAGAAAUGGGGUGCGGGUAGGACCAUCCAUGGCGCAUUGCCUAUCACCACCACAGGAAGGGACGUCCUGAACCGAUCACUGAGUGAACUAGAUUCCCUUCCAGACAAUGACCUUUCCGUAAAUAUCUCAUCGGGACGAGGCUAGGUGGCUCACUGGUCUCUGUGUGCUGUUCUAGGGGCCUAGUGGCUCUGCUUGGUAUCUCAGGGAGAGGGUUUCCAGGAAAUGGUUUGAUUCGAACGGCCGAUUGGUUCCUUAUCACCCUCCUCCGUCCAUGCAUAAUCCUGAGACGCUUUUUAAAGAAGAGUUUCAGGCGGCCUUGAUUGGGGUCAAUGCGGAUCAUUUUACAGAGUCGACAAACGAUUACCAGGAGUUCCUCCAACAAGAUACUGUGUGCAUACCGCUGACUUCUGAUAGUCCUCAGAUGAUAAUGCAGGUACGGUGGUGCCGUUGGGAGGUGACUCAACCUCUUUUGGACCUGACUAUGGAGGUGACUGGUUGAUGCCAGAUGCCGAAGAGCAUGACCAGGACUGUGCCUGUGAUCAUUGUGCUUAUGCGGCAUCCUAAGAUGCACGGUGUAUUUUGGUUAUUUUGAUACUGAACUAUUCAUUGGUAUUCUUUUGGGCUUAUUAUGUAGAAGUCAUGAAUAUUUGUAAAUGGGAUAACAUCGUUCUGAUUAUGUAAUAUCAUUAGAUAAAUUCCCCAUUUUAAAUUUAUGAUCCGUUAUUAUA